rnacentral:rRNA from 1 species
UACGUAGGCAGCGAGCGUUGUUCGGAGUUACUGGGCGUAAAGCGUGCGUAGGCGGCGGCCCAAGUCUGGUGUGAAAUCUCCCGGCUUAACCGGGAGGGUGCGCUAGAAACUGGGUUGCUGGAGUACCGGAGAGGCAGGCGGAAUUCCUGGUGUAGCGGUGAAAUGCGUAGAUAUCAGGAGGAACACCGGUGGCGAAGGCGGCAUCCUGGACCGGUAUUGACGCUGAGGCGCGAAAGCCAGGGGAGCAAACGGG